rnacentral:rRNA from 1 species
ACGUAGGUGUCGAGCGUUGUCCGGAUUUAUUGGGCGUAAAGAGCCCGCAGGCGGCCUGACAAGUUUGAGGUGAAAUCUCCCGGCUUAACUGGGAGGGGGCCUCGAAAACUGCCAGGCUUGAGGCAUGGAGAGGGAUGCGGAAUUCCCGGUGUAGUGGUGAAAUGCGUAGAUAUCGGGAGGAACACCAGUGGCGAAGGCGGCAUCCUGGCCAUGUCCUGACGCUCAGGGGCGAAAGCGUGGGGAGCAAACCGGAUUAGAUACCCGGGUAGUCCACGCCGUAAACGAUGAGUACUAGGUGUAGGGGGUAUCGACCCCCUCUGUGCCGAAGCUAACGCGAUAAGUACUCCGCCUGGGGACUACGGCCGCAAGGCUA